rnacentral:rRNA from 1 species
GUAGGGAAUAUUGCGCAAUGGACGAAAGUCUGACGCAGCGACGCCGCGUGAGUGAUGAAGGCCUUAGGGUCGUAAAGCUCUGUUGAAUGGGAAGAAAAAAAUGACGGUACCAUUCGAGGAAGGACCGGCUAACUUCGUGCCAGCAGCCGCGGUAAUACGAGGGGUCCUAGCGCUGUUCGGAAUCAUUGGGCGUAAAGGGUGUGUAGGUGGCCAUGUAAGUCAGGUGUGAAAGCCCCGGGCUCAACCCGGGAAGUGCACUUGAUACUGCGUGGCUUGAGUACCGAAGAGGGUAGUGGAAUUCCAGGUGUAGUGGUGAAAUACGUAGAUAUCUGGAGGAACACCGGUGGCGAAGGCGGCUACCUGGUCGAGUACUGACACUGAGACACGAAAGCAUGGGGAUCAAACAGGAUUAGAUACCCGAGUAGUCC